UUACAAUGGCAUCUUCCAGCUCUUCGCGCACACUUUGGACUCCCCCGAUUCCGGUGAGGCUCCUUCCAGAGCGCAGUGUGCAUAGUUUUUCGCAUCUUUCUCCUCCUGCCCAAGCAAAAUCCUAGUCAUGCUCACUGCCUAACUCGCCUCAACGACACUGCAUAAUUUGGUGCGGCAACUUCGGCAAAGGUCCAGUAGCAGGGAACCAAAUGACUUUCAGCGCUCGCGCGCUGGCAUUCUCAAUAACUGCCGCAUCUGUGACAGCCAAACCUUAAACCAACCCAAACAUAUAAACCUCGAAGCUGGCACCCCAGCGUUCCAGGCCUG
rnacentral:lncRNA from 1 species